CAAUAUAAGUGAUGGCGACCGGCGCACGGGUGAGUAACACGUAUCCAACCUGCCGAUAACUCGGGGAUAGCCUUUCGAAAGAAAGAUUAAUACCCGGUGGUAUAAUAAAACCGCAUGGUUUAAUUAUUAAAGAAUUUCGGUUAUCGAUGGGGAUGCGUUCCAUUAGGCAGUUGGUGAGGUAACGGCUCACCAAACCUUCGAUGGAUAGGGGUUCUGAGAGGAAGGUCCCCCACAUUGGAACUGAGACACGGUCCAA
rnacentral:rRNA from 1 species